CCCUGAGUGGUAUAAAUGGUUAAGCACUUGGCUGUGAAUUGAGAGGUUGGUGGUUCAAGUCCACUCACAGGCA
rnacentral:tRNA from 1 species